GGGCUUCGGCCUGGUGGCGAGUGGCGAACGGGUGAGUAAUGCGUCGGAACGUGCCGAGUAAUGGGGGAUAACGCAUCGAAAGGUGUGCUAAUACCGCAUACGCUCUGAGGAGGAAAGCGGGGGACCUUCGGGCCUCGCGUUAUUCGAGCGGCCGACGUCUGAUUAGCUAGUUGGUGGGGUAAAGGCUCACCAAGGCGACGAUCAGUAGCGGGUCUGAGAGGAUGAUCCGCCACACUGGGACUGAGACACGGCCCAGACUCCUACGGGAGGCAGCAGUGGGGAAUUUUGGACAAUGGGCGAAAGCCUGAUCCAGCCAUGCCGCGUGAGUGAAGAAGGCCUUCGGGUUGUAAAGCUCUUUUGUCCGGGAGGAAAUCCCGCAACCUAAUACGUUGCGGGGAUGACAGUACUGGAAGAAUAAGCACCGGCUAACUACGUGCCAGCAGCCGCGGUAAUACGUAGGGUGCAAGCGUUAAUCGGAAUUACUGGGCGUAAAGCGUGUGCAGGCGGUUUGAUAAGUCAGAUGUGAAAUCCCCGGGCUUAACCUGGGAACUGCGUUUGAACUGUCAGGCUAGAGUACGUCAGAGGGGGGUGGAAUUCCACGUGUAGCAGUGAAAUGCGUAGAGAUGUGGAGGAACACCGAUGGCGAA
rnacentral:rRNA from 1 species